rnacentral:rRNA from 1 species
AACGAACGCUGGCGGCAGGCUUAACACAUGCAAGUCGAGCGCCCCGCCAGGGGAGCGGCCGACGGGUGAGUAACGCUUGGGAACAUACCCAACCCUACGGAAUAACCCAGGGAAACUUGGACUAAUACCGUAUACGCCCUUUUGGGGAAAGAUUUAUCGGGGAUGGAUUGGCCCGCGUUGGAUUAGCUAGUUGGUGGGGUAAAGGCCUACCAAGGCGACGAUCCAUAGCUGGUCUGAGAGGAUGAUCAGCCACAUUGGGACUGAGACACGGCCCAAACUCCUACGGGAGGCAGCAGUGGGGAAUAUUGGACAAUGGGCGCAAGCCUGAUCCAGCCAUGCCGCGUGAGUGAUGAAGGCCUUAGGGUUGUAAAGCUCUUUCACCGAUGAAGAUAAUGACGGUAGUCGGAGAAGAAGCCCCGGCUAACUUCGUG